rnacentral:rRNA from 1 species
GGGGAUAACUACUGGAAACGGUAGCUAAUACCGCAUAACGUCGCAAGACCAAAGAGGGGACCUUCGGGCCUCUUGCCAUCGGAUGUGCCCAGAUGGGAUUAGCUAGUAGGUGGGGUAACGGCUCACCUAGGCGACGAUCCCUAGCUGGUCUGAGAGGAUGACCAGCCACACUGGAACUGAGACACGGUCCAG